rnacentral:rRNA from 1 species
CAGCCGCCACGGGAAUACGAAGGGGGCUAGCGUUGCUCGGAAUCACUGGGCGUAAAGGGUGCGUAGGCGGGUUUUUAAGUCAGGGGUGAAAUCCUGGAGCUCAACUCCAGAACUGCCCUUGAUACUGGGAAUCUUGAGUAUGGGAGAGGUGAGUGGAACUGCGAGUGUAGAGGUGAAAUUCGUAGAUAUUCGCGAGAACACCAGUGGCGAAGGCGGCUCACUGGCCCAUAACUGACGCUGAGGCACGAAAGCGUGGGAGCAAACAGGAUUAGAUACCCCAGUAGUCCCUGUCUCUUAUACA